rnacentral:rRNA from 1 species
UAGGGAAUCUUCGGCAAUGGACGGAAGUCUGACCGAGCAACGCCGCGUGAGUGAAGAAGGUUUUCGGAUCGUAAAGCUCUGUUGUAAGAGAAGAACGAGUGUGAGAGUGGAAAGUUCACACUGUGACGGUAUCUUACCAGAAAGGGACGGCUAACUACGUGCCAGCAGCCGCGGUAAUACGUAGGUCCCGAGCGUUGUCCGGAUUUAUUGGGCGUAAAGCGAGCGCAGGCGGUUAGAUAAGUCUGAAGUUAAAGGCUGUGGCUUAACCAUAGUAGGCUUUGGAAACUGUUUAACUUGAGUGCAAGAGGGGAGAGUGGAAUUCCAUGUGUAGCGGUGAAAUGCGUAGAUAUACGGAGGAACACCGGUGGCGAAAGCGGCUCUCUGGCUUGUAACUGACGCUGAGGCUCGAAAGCGUGGGGAGCAAACAGGAUUAGAUACCCUGGUAGUCCACGCUGUAAACGAUGAGUGCUAGGUGUUAGACCCUUUCCGGGGUUUAGUGCCGUAGCUAACGCAUUAAGCACUCCGCCUGGGGAGUACGACCGCAAGGUUG